rnacentral:lncRNA from 1 species
UAGGCUAUUUGAUAAAUCCAGUUUCUGGAGUGAAGCGGUGUGAAGUCUGUUGCCCAGCUGUGCCACAGAGAUGGCGAGUGAAUCUGUUUUGGGGACUGGUCUCGCCUCUGAUUGUUGCUGUUGGUGGGGAAGUUGUUAAAAACGUUUUAAUGGGGUUUUCCACAGGCCUCCUUUCCUGUGGGUCCUGAUGAUGACAGUGCAAUCUGUGUCUCUCAGAUAAAGGGAGGGGGAAGGCUUUAGAAACCAGAACUGCGGAAGCGUUAUCUUAUCAGUCAUGUUCACUGUGGAUUUCCUACACACUGUGAGGCCCUGAAAUAUAUCCCUGGCAAGGCAACUGAGCUGAAGAGUCAAUGGGUCUCCAAAACUGCAAUAACUGUGGGUGAUAAAGGAUCGCCGUCCUGACAAAGAAGCCAAAGGUCGGGGGAAAGCCACAAGACCAGCCACUGCUGAGCCUCUUCGGCUUCUACAGCCCAGCAAACCCCAAAGUUGUUCUGGCAAUGGUAAGAGCAUCUCAGCCAGAAGCAGCUGGGCAGGGAUGCAGGGAGGAAAGGCGAAGGGGAUACUACAGGCCUUGCUGCCUCAUGGAAGUUAUGAGGUGGGUGAGGCCUUUGCUGUUUCUGUGAAGAGGCAAUUAAACACAGAGCGGGGGAAAGGCUAUGAGAGUUGUGUGCUAUUUUUCUAGUGCCCACAGAGAAUGAGAACUAGUGUGGUAUUGCAGAGAACUAUAGAUAAAGAACCCCCUUUGUCUGAGGUGGAGUGAAUACUGGCCAGAGGGGGUGAAGGCCUUGACCUGCUACCAUGUCUGUCACCCACAGGGUGAAAUCUUCCUCAGUAUCUAGUUAGGUUAUUUGGUUUAUACUUUACUUUGCCCUGGAAAAGGUGACGAAGCAUCCAUUUGAUUAGAGCAGGGGUAGGCAACCUAAGGUCUGUGGGCCGGAUGCAGACCAAUCGCCUUCUCAAUCCAGCCCACUGACAGUCUGGGAAUCAGCAUGUUUUUACAUGAAUAGAAUGUGCUCUUUUAUUUAAAAUGCAUCUCUGGGUUAUUUGUGGGGCCUGCCUGGUGUUUUUACAUGAGUAGAAUAUGUGCUUUUAUUUAAAAUGCAUCUCUGGGUUAUUUGUGGGGCAUAAGAAUUUGUUCAUUCCCCCCCCCCCCAAAAAAAAUAUUCCGGCCCACCACAUGGUCUGAGGGACAGUGGACCGGCCCACGACUGAAAAAGGUUGCUGACCCCUGGAUUAGAGUAUGGUGACUGUAUAUUAUAAUGAGAUAUUCUGACAGGGUCUACCCUGCAGUUAUUAAAGUAGUGAAUGUAUAGACCAAGAAAAUUUGAUCUGAACCACAACAUUCAAGCUCUCAGACAGCUACCAUUCAACACAAUUCAUGUCCUUGUUUAAUACUGUAGCUGUCCAUGGAGUAUGUAGAAAUGACAAAACUUACUGGAAAAACAAGAAAUCAAGACAACAAACUUUUUAGAAAGGAAUGGAAAUGGUUUAUGGAGCAUUUAGAAACAAACUGUAAACAGAUCAAGACAUUGGCAGGAUUAUUGUAAAAGCCUGCAAUAUAUAUAUAUAUAUAUAUAUGGAAAGGACGAAAAUAAAUGUACGGAACCGCAGAAAGAGGGGGAAGGGAGUCAAAGUUGAAAAUGUUAAAAUUAUGGUUAAAUAAUUGUUGUAAUGUAGAUAAAUGAAAUAAUAAUAAUAAUAAUAAUAAUAAUGAUGAUGAUGAUGAUGAUGAUGUAACUGCCAUCUCCAGUGUAUAACUAUAAAAAUAUGUAAUGGUUUUAACAAAAGCAAUGGACUUUGUGUGGAUUGAAAAUAAUACGUAGGAAACUGGUAUAGCUUGCAGGCUAAGAGUGGUUUAAGAAGUUCCAGGUUUCUGUACAAACUUAUUCAGAAGAAGGAAACCCUUGAGUUCAGUGGGGCUUUGUCCCAUGUGGGUAAUUAUGGGAUUGCAACCUUUUUAGUCAAACCAUUACCUCUCGGAUUCUCCCUCUAUCUAUAAUAUAGCCGAUCUUACAAGGCAUUCGUUUGUUAAUGUUUGUGAAGUGGCUGGAACAUCUGAAGCACAC